ACUGUAUCGCCCAUCACUACUUGAAGUUUCUAGCGUGAAAAUCGGUGUCGACCGAAACGUAUAGCGCUCUCAGGUUUCUCUCUGGUAUUAUACAGCUGACUGUAAAAUACUGUGACCCGGUGUCCGGCAGCAAACUAUUGUAAAUGAUAUUCAUGACACGUGCUUCGCUGGUAGGAGUGUUGAUGGUUUUGUACUUAGCGAGAAGUAUUCGUGGACAAACUUAUCGGAAUAUGUCGAGUGUCGCUGGAAUGUAUUCCGUAUCGUACGUCACCGUACCGAAUGAUACAGUGGCGAAAAAAAUAGCUCGUGGCUUGGUUGAGAAUAAACUUGCUGCCUGCGUUAAUAUCAUUCCACAGCUGAUAUCUGUGUACGAAUGGGAGGAAAAAAUUCAAGAGGAACCUGAGCUUCUAUUGAUGAUUAAAACUAGAACAGAGACAGUGGAUGCUUUAACAAAAUAUGUAAAAGAGAAUCAUCCAUAUACAGUUUGCGAAGUAAUUUCACAGCCCAUACAAAAUGGGAACAUCGAUUACUUAAAUUGGAUUGGCAAAAUAGUAUCACCACUUAAUUCAAAGGAUCAGGAUACGACAAAUAAUUAGAUCAGCCAUUUAUUGCUAGACCAGAUUUGCUGAGGCUUGAGGGCUUGGUUAGGUAGCGUGAGUGGAUGUCCGAUAUAUACGCUUAACCUGCGGCUUUAUAAUUUUCGUUUAACUCGUGCGGACAAGAAGAACAGGAAUGUACGCAAGAAAAGCACAAUUUUAACUUAGUCAAACAAUUAAUUAAAAUAUUAUUUUCGAAUGCAUUAUAAUGCAUUAUAAGAAGCGAAACUAAAGAAUAGUUUUUUUAUCAAUAAUAACCAAAGGUAUUUAAAUGACAGAACACCAUCUAUCACUUGAGCAUACUUGUAAAAUGUUUUGAAAACUAACCUUUUCCUUUAGUAGUCAAUAAAUAGCCGUAAAAUUACGCAAAGAUCAUGACAAAAGAAGUUGCAUGUCACGUCAAUUUUAUGACUAUUUAUUGAUAAUCAAUAAAAAAAUAGGUUUCGGAGCAAUUCAUAAGUAUGCACAAGCGAUCUUAAGGAUUGUCUUACGUAAAUAUCUUAAUAUUUGAAAUGACAUACAAGACGCGCAUAUUUUCUUACUUCUGACAUCAUAAAUCAAGAUAGGUACGGUGAAGGACCAGAGUCUUAAGUCUCGAGACCCCUGACUACUUGCCGCGACUAUUUUGAUUUAUUAUGUUAAACACAAGACAAUAUGCUCAAAAUUCUUGCGAAACAUGUAGAAAUAAAAACAUGAUCUCUAAAACAUAUAGAAAUGACACAGUCAAAAGCAGAUAUAUAAAGUACUCUGAAAAUUCCCCUGACAAUACAAUUAAUGUGACAAAAUCAUGAGAAAAAAAUAGUUUAAAAAGAAAGAUUUCAUGUCAUGUUAAUUUUAAGAUUAUUUAUUAAUUGUUAGAACAAAAUAUUCAUAUUAUUUUACACAUUUGCUUGAUCGAUUGUAAAUGUCAUUUUAUUGAUAUAUCUUUUAUAUGAAAUCUUUUUAUUUUAUAUAUCUUUUUAUUUCUACGUGUAUUUCGCAGGAAUUUGAAUAUAUCCUCCAUAUCAUUCCAUCUCCUCUAUAUUAUUAUUCUUCCAUAUUACUCCAUCUCCUCUACAUAUCUCCUCACUUCUGACGUAAUCAAUUAAGUUUCGCAUGAAACUUAAUUGAUGAACAGCCAGAAACUCUAAUGGGCGAUAGUGGAGUUCGAAUUUGUAAUAUGGUACAGGAAAGUUGACGUUAUCUUCCACCAUCGUAACCGGGGUAAAGCAAUAAUAAUGCCGAUGAUAAUGGCUGAUUAAUUUCUAUUUUAUAAUUUUUACCCAAAUUAUGCCGGCACGAAGGACAAGAAUAUACGUUAGAGGUGAAACUGCGUUUUAAACAAAUUAAACAUAUAUUAUGCGCGCAAGGAGUAGUUACAGGAUUGUAAACUAUUUCGAGGCAACAAGCACACAGGAAUCUGCAAAAAAAAUUGAAUUAUAUUAAAUGAAUGCUGAUGAAGCGAAUUGACAAAGAAACUGUCUAAGCCCAGCAAACA